rnacentral:rRNA from 1 species
GACGAACGCUGGCGGCGUGCCUAAUACAUGCAAGUAGAACGCUGAAGGAGGAGCUUGCUUCUCCGGAUGAGUUGCGAACGGGUGAGUAACGCGUAGGUAACCUGCCUGGUAGCGGGGGAUAACUAUUGGAAACGAUAGCUAAUACCGCAUAACAGUAGAUGUUGCAUGACAUUUGCUUAAAAGGUGCAAUUGCAUCACUACCAGAUGGACCUGCGUUGUAUUAGCUAGUUGGUGAGGUAACGGCUCACCAAGGCGACGAUACAUAGCCGACCUGAGAGGGUGAUCGGCCACACUGGGACUGAGACACGGCCCAGACUCCUACGGGAGGCAGCAGUAGGGAAUCUUCGGAAAUGGACGGAAGUCUGACCGAGCAACGCCGCGUGAGUGAAGAAGGUUUUCGGAUCGUAAAGCUCUGUUGUAAGAGAAGAACGAGUGUGAGAGUGGAAAGUUCACACUGUGACGGUAUCUUACCAGAAAGGGACGGCUAACUACGUG